UACGGGGGGGGCAAGCGUUGUUCGGAAUUACUGGGCGUAAAGGGCUCGUAGGCGGCCAACUAAGUCAGACGUGAAAUCCCUCGGCUUAACCGGGGAACUGCGUCUGAUACUGGAUGGCUUGAAUCCGGGAGAGGGAUGCGGAAUUCCAGGUGUAGCGGUGAAAUGCGUAGAGAUCGGGUGGAACACCAGUGGCGAAGGCGGCAUCCUGGCCCUGACCUGACGCUGAGGCGCGAGAGCGUGGGGAGCGAACGGG
rnacentral:rRNA from 1 species